GGUUAAGCGACUAAGCGUACACGGUGGAUGCCCUGGCAGUCAGAGGCGAUGAAGGGCGUGCUAAUCUGCGAUAAGCGCCGGUAAGGUGAUAGUGAUA
rnacentral:rRNA from 1 species